UAUACGACUCUCGGCAACGGAUAUCUCGGCUCUCGCAUCGAUGAAGAACGUAGCGAAAUGCGAUACUUGGUGUGAAUUGCAGAAUCCCGUGAACCAUCGAGCCUUUGAACGCAAGUUGCGCCCGAGGCCUUUCGGUUGAGGGCACGCCUGCCUGGGCGUCACGC
rnacentral:rRNA from 1 species